rnacentral:rRNA from 1 species
UUCCGGUUGAUCCUGCCGGAGGCCAUUGCUAUUGGGAUUCGAUUUAGCCAUGCUAGUCGCACGAGUUCAGACUCGUGGCGAAUAGCUCAGUAACACGUGGCCAAACUACCCUUCGGAGCACAAUACCCUCGGGAAACUGAGGCUAAUAGUGCAUACCACAAUCCACCUGGAAUGAGGAUUGUGCCAAAUGCUCCGGCGCCGAAGGAUGUGGCUGCGGCCGAUUAGGUAGACGGUGGGGUAACGGCCCACCGUGCCAAUAAUCGGUACGGGUCAUGAGAGUGAGAACCCGGAGACGGAAUCUGAGACAAGAUUCCGGGCCCUACGGGGCGCAGCAGGCGCGAAACCUUUACACUGCACGCCAGUGCGAUAAGGGAAUCCCAAGUGCGUAGGCAUAGAGCCUACGCUUUUGUACACCGUAGGGAGGUGUACGAAUAAGGGCUGGGCAAGACCGGUGCCAGCCGCCGCGGUAAUACCGGCAGCCCGAGUGAUGGCCGAUCUUAUUGGGCCUAAAGCGUCCGUAGCUGGCCGCACAAGUCCAUCGGAAAAUCCACCCGCUCAACGGGUGGGCGUCCGGUGGAAACUGUGUGGCUUGGGACCGGAAGGCGCGACGGGUACGUCCGGGGUAGGAGUGAAAUCCCGUAAUCCUGGACGGACCGCCGAUGGCGAAAGCACGUCGCGAGGACGGAUCCGACAGUGAGGGACGAAAGCCAGGGUCUCGAACCGGAUUAGAUACCCGGGUAGUCCUGGCCGUAAACAAUGUCUGUUAGGUGUGGCUCCCACUACGAGUGGGUGCUGUGCCGUAGGGAAGCCGCUAAACAGACCGCCUGGGAAGUACGUCCGCAAGGAUGAAACUUAAAGGAAUUGGCGGGGGAGCACUGCAACCGGAGGAGCCUGCGGUUUAAUUGGAUUCAACGCCGGG